GAUGAACGCUGGCGGCGUGCUUAACACAUGCAAGUCGAACGAAACACCUUAUUUUAUUUUCUUCGGAACUGAAGAUUUGGUGAUUGAGUGGCGGACGGGUGAGUAACGCGUGGGUAACCUGCCCUGUACAGGGGGAUAACAGUCAGAAAUGACUGCUAAUACCGCAUAAGACCACAGCACCGCAUGGUGCAGGGGUAAAAACUCCGGUGGUACAGGAUGGACCCGCGUCGGCUUAGCUGGUUGGUGAGGUCACGGCUCACCAAGGCGAGGAUCAGUAGCCGGGUUGAGAGAGUGGAUCGCCACAUCUGGACGGAGAAGCGGCCCAAACUCCUACGGGAGGCAGCAGUGGGGAAUAUUGCAAAAUGGGGGAAAUCCUGAAGGAGCGACGCCGGGUGAGUGAAGAAGUUUUUCGGUAAGUAAAGCUAGAUAAGAAGGGAAGAAAAUGACGGUACCUGAAUAAGAAGCCCCGGCUAACUACGUG
rnacentral:rRNA from 1 species